UUACGUAUCCAACGUAUAAACCAAAUGUGAACUGUUUCCGCUCAGCUCUAAAGUUAAUGGCAUCAUUACGCUUUAAUACCUCCGUGUUAGUGAUAGCAGGGUUAAUUCCUUGCUAGGAGGUUAGUAGUCUUGCCGCCAAGGAGCCUUUGCGCUCUGAGGGACUUUGUUGCUGAGGCCGGUAUUUCAAUCACUAACAUUUACUAUUAUUAACCCUUUGAACUAAUUAUUGAACUAAUCAUGUUUCUAGCCUCGGUGACCCAUUUAUUUGGGCUUGCUGGCUUGAAAUUAUUUACGUAACUUGAA
rnacentral:misc_RNA from 1 species